UACGGGGGGAGCAAGCGUUGUUCGGAUUUACUGGGCGUAAAGGGCGCGUAGGCGGUCGUGACAAGUCACUUGUGAAAUCUCCGGGCUUAACUCGGAACGGUCAAGUGAUACUGUCGGACUAGAGUACAGAAGGGGCAACUGGAAUUCUCGGUGUAGCGGUGAAAUGCGUAGAUAUCGAGAGGAACACCUGCGGCGAAGGCGGGUUGCUGGGCCGAUACUGACGCUGAGGAGCGAAAGCGUGGGGGAGCGAACAGG
rnacentral:rRNA from 1 species